rnacentral:tRNA from 1 species
GCUCUUAUCGUCUAGUAGACAAGGAUAUUAGGUUCUCAACCUAAAGACCUGGGCGCAAAUCCCAGUGAGAGCA